rnacentral:miRNA from 1 species
UUCUCCUUAAGAGACUGCAAGC